ensembl:lncRNA
GGGAAGGCCAUUGGGGAAGGGGCAGGCAUGGAGUUCAAUUUUGUGUUAAGUUUGGCAUGCCUGUUGAGACAGUCCAAUGACAUGUCCAGUUGUAUAUGUGGAUCUGCAGCUCAAGAAGGAGCUAGGAUUCUAAAUUUGAGAAUCAACAGCCUAGAUACAUACAUUAUAUGUAUAUAUCAGAUGAAAGUGAUAGCGGAGAUCAGAUUACCUGGGAAAAUAGGUAGAUUGGCUUAAAAAGGAAGAGGCCUGUGGAUCCACCCCUGAUAGUCAGGAGCCUUCAGGUGUGGAAGCAAGGAGAGGGAGGGAGAUGAAAAGAGCGAGCUGGGUAAGCACUGAGAGUCACUGCCACAGGAGCCGGAAAGAGCUUCAGUGGGCAUGCUGGAGAGAGAGCGCAUGAGAUGAGAAUUUUGGAUUUGGCAACAAGGAGGUCAUUUGAGGAAGCAGUUGUUGCCUCUGAUUUUUGUUUUCUUGCAGAAUUGUGGAAAUAGAAAUCGGGUCAGAGUGGGCAGGAAAGAAGAGAAGAUGAGGGAGUGGAGAUAGUGAUUCUAGGGUUGUAGACAUCUGAAUUAAGGAAGGUUCUAAGAAGACACAGGCCCUCCCACAGCCCCUCCCACAGCCUCUCCCACAGGUCCUCCCACAGCCCCUCCCACAGCCCCUCCCACAGCCUCUCCCACAGGUCCUCCCACAGCCUCUCCCACAGCCCCUCCCACAGCCUCUCCCACAGGUCCUCCCACAGGCCCUCCCACAGCCCCUCCCACAGCCCCUCCCACAGGUGCUCCCAUAGGUUCUGCCACAGCCCCUCCCACAGGUCCUCCCACAGCCCCUCCCACAGGUCCUCCACAGCCCUUCCCACAGGUCCUCCCACAGCCCCUCCCACAGGUCCUCCACAGCCCUUCCCACAGGUCCUCCCACAGCCCCUCCCACAACCCUUCCCACAGGUCCUCCCACAGGUGCUCCCACAGAUGCUCCCACAGGUCCUCCCACAGGUGCUCCCACAGGCCCUAAGGCGCGUCUGAGCAGGAACUGGGUGACCUGAGCUGCAGUUUCAGCUGACAGUGUUUCACUGUCAUUUGUGAGGUCUGAGACAACUUGGAUAACUUCCAUUGAUUUUACUCAGUAGUUUCAGAACAUUUUUAAUAAAAACUGUCAUUUCUUAUUUCUAAUAUUGCAAAAAAAGUUCCACUUUAACAAAACGCAUUUUCAUGUUUAGUUUUACCUACAAGGAAGAUGAGUGUUGGGUAAAUGACACAUUUUUGUUUGAUUUUAUUUAUUGGGAAAGGCUGAGGAAGGACCAGAUCAGCCAGGAAAAGCUGUGUUGUAUUUUCAUGACAAAAGCCGACAUCUGUCAAACAUUCCAGUUUUGGAGGGUGCUGUCUAGAGCUUCAGGGGACCGGUCCCAAGUCACAGGGUGGGGACGUCCUGGAGUGUAACCAGAGGUGUCUUUUUCACUCUUAUAUGAUGCUUCCAAACAAAGUUAUAUCAACAGAAAGGCUGGUAACAUUAUUUUUGAAAACCAACACCUUAAAGAGUAGUGCUGCUUGUUUGGGCUACUUAGGGCAACACCUCCUGCCUUUGGGGGGC